GAUUUCUGGUAUGUCGCACUUGGCCCGCCCCGGUUACGGGGUUGUGUGCCGGUGUGCGUCUGCCAUCCUUCUGGGGAACUAUCAUUUACUAACCCCUUUACUGUGGGCGUUUAUGGUAGGGAACCUGAUCAUUUACUUUGAAAAAAUUAGAGUGUUUAAAGCAGGCUUAUGCUAUGAAUACAUUAGCAUGGAAUAAUAAUUUAGGACUUUGGUCUUAUUUUAUUGGUGUUUACUAGGACUAAUAGUAAUGAUUGAUAGGGAUAGUUGGGGGUGCUAGUAUUCAGCGGCCAGAGGUGAAAUUCUUGGAUUCGCUGAAGACUAACUUAUGCGAAAGCAUU
rnacentral:rRNA from 1 species